rnacentral:lncRNA from 1 species
CAAUUCAUGUUUUGAGUGUAAAAACAUUGUAUUUUUUUUCUUUGGCAGAAGAACAACUUUGUACUGGAGUCAACAGUGCACAACUGGAGCAAAACCUAUUGUCUGGUAGCUCUUCUGAAUCUCUGUGCAACUUCAACCUCCCUGAAUAUGCCUGUUCCUCAACAUUCCAUCUCUCAGCGGACAACUUGGUGACGCUGCUGAAAUGCCAACUAGCGAGCAACACCACUUACUCAACAGCAAUGUGGAAGCUGUUCUUCCAAAACAAUGCUGCGGUUCUGGAUCAGGCUCUUCUGGAGUAUUCCAGCAUGGUAUUUUGAAUCCCCGAAUUCUA